GGUUCUAUGGUGUAAUGGUUAGCACAUGAGGUUCUGAGUUCCUCACCAGUCCAUCAGAUCUUCUCCUCAUGAUCCCGGUUCGAUUCCGGGUAGGACCU
rnacentral:tRNA from 1 species